CCGUAUGACAUCCCAAUGGUGCAAAAGAAAGUUAUUGAUACUAGGAGUGGCUGAUAGCAUUACUCGAAUGGAAUGGGUGAGAGACAUUGCUCCUUGCUUUACAUCAAUAGUUUAGGAAUUACAUCAAUAUGCAUUCCUGUUGUUGGAUCCACUUUACCACAGCAUACCAGAUACAAGAGAUACUGAUUCCAAAGGGGGAAAAAUUUGAAGAGAAAAAAGAAUUACAAAGAAAAACUGGACGCAGUUCUUAUCAUCAAAAGACAAUUGGCAAAGCAAUUUUACAUCAACCAGCCUCAUGUAUCACAACCUAAAUAGCAAUUCCUAUGCCUUAUAAACUAACCACAACCAAGGCCCUCUAGGCUGGUAUAUUCUACCUUUCCCAUGGAGAGAGGAGGCUCCAAUAUACGGACACAACUAGUCCUUGAGAUCAGAGGACCGGGGCGAUGGCUCAACGCCCGCAGGCAAGUCGCGGAGCGAGGCAAUCAUACGUCGCAAGCUCAGCGAUCGAGUGGAUUGGAAGCUAAAGGAUCUCAUCUUUGUGUUGGAGAAGACAUUGGAAGAGCUGGCCAGAAUAAGGUAGACGAGAACUUGGACUAGAAUGAACAGGCCUACCUUCACCAAGUAGUCACUCCAUUCUUCAAAGGCCAUGGCUGUACUUGAAUGGAAUACUGUGAAAUGAGUAGAAGAAGAAGAAGAAGUAGGAGGAGAAAAUGGUGUGUGUUAUGGGAUAACAGUUGGAAGGGAGGGCCUUCUUAUACAGAAGACUAGUUAUCACUGUUUCCAUCCGCCGGUUUGACUGUCACCAUAUGAAGAAACUUCU
rnacentral:lncRNA from 1 species